rnacentral:rRNA from 1 species
AGUGGGGAAUUUUGGACAAUGGGCGCAAGCCUGAUCCAGCCAUUCCGCGUGCAGGAUGAAGGCCCUCGGAUUGUAAACUCCUGUUGCCCGGGACGAAAAGCUUCGACCUAACACGUCGAAGUCUGACGGUACCGGGUGAGGAAGCCCCGGCUAACUCUGUGCCAGCAGCCGCGGUAAUACAGAGGGGGCAAGCGUUGUUCGGAAUUACUGGGCGUAAAGGGCGCGUAGGCGGCCUGCUAAGUCGAACGUGAAAUCCCUGGGCUCAACCCAGGAACUGCGUUCGAUACUGGUUGGCUUGAAUUCGGGAGAGGGAUGCGGAAUUCCAGGUGUAGCGGUGAAAUGCGUAGAUAUCUGGAGGAACACCGGUGGCGAAGGCGGCAUCCUGGACCGGCAUUGACGCUGAGGCGCGAAAGCCAGGGGAGCAAACGGGAUUAGAUACCCCGGUAGUCCUGGCCCUAAACGAUGAGUGCUUGGUGUGGCGGGUAUCGAUCCCUGCCGUGCCGAAGCUAACGCAUUAAGCACUCCGCCUGGGGAGUACGGUCGCAAGGCUGAAACUCAAAGGAAUUG